rnacentral:rRNA from 1 species
CCCUUAGAUGUUCGGGGCCGCACGCGCGCUACACUGAAGGACUCAGCGUGUCUCUCCCCCUAUCCCGAAAGGGAUGGGCAACCCGUUGAACCUCCUUCGUGCUAGGGAUUGGGGUUUGCAAUUAUCCCCCAUGAACGAGGAAUUCCCAGUAAGCGCGAGUCAUCAGCUCGCGUUGAUUACGUCCCUGCCCUUUGUACACACCGCCCGUCGCUACUACCGAUUGGAUGGUUUAGUGAGACCCUCGGAUCGGUCCCGACUCGGGGUGGGCUUCUGCCCCGGUCGUGGUUUCGCCGAGAAGACGGUCAAACUUGACUAUCUAGAGAAAGUAAAAGUCGUAACA